rnacentral:rRNA from 1 species
GGGUUGUGAGGUUAAGCGACUAAGCGUACACGGUGGAUGCCCUGGCAGUCAGAGGCGAUGAAGGACGUGCUAAUCUGCGAUAAGCGCCGGUAAGGUGAUAUGAACCGUUAUAACCGGCGAUUUCCGAAUGGGGAAACCCAGUGUGAUUCGUCACACCAUCAUUAACUGAAUCCAUAGGUUAAUGAGGCGAACCGGGGGAACUGAAACAUCUAAGUACCCCGAGGAAAAGAAAUCAACCGAGAUUCCCCCAGUAGCGGCGAGCGAACGGGGAGGAGCCCAGAGCCUGAAUCAGCAUGUGUGUUAGUGGAAGCGUCUGGAAAGGCGCGCGAUACAGGGUGACAGCCCCGUACACAAAAGCGCAUGUGCUGUGAGCUCGAUGAGUAGGGCGGGACACGUGGUAUCCUGUCUGAAUAUGGGGGGACCAUCCUCCAAGGCUAAAUACUCCUGACUGACCGAUAGUGAACCAGUACCGUGAGGGAAAGGCGAAAAGAACCCCGGCGAGGGGAGUGAAAAAGAACCUGAAACCGUGUACGUACAAGCAGUGGGAGCACCCUUCGGGGUGUGACUGCGUACCUUUUGUAUAAUGGGUCAGCGACUUAUAUUCUG